rnacentral:rRNA from 1 species
AACGCUAGCUACAGGCUUAACACAUGCAAGUCGAGGGGCAGCAUGACCUAGCAAUAGGUUGAUGGCGACCGGCGCACGGGUGAGUAACACGUAUCCAACCUGCCGAUUAUUCCGGGAUAGCCUUUCGAAAGAAAGAUUAAUACUGGAUAGCAUAACGAGAAGGCAUCUUCUUGUUAUUAAAGAAUUUCGAUAAUCGAUGGGGAUGCGUUCCAUUAGUUUGUUGGCGGGGUAACGGCCCACCAAGACAUUGAUGGAUAGGGGUUCUGAGAGGAAGGUCCCCCACAUUGGAACUGAGACACGGUCCAAACUCCUACGGGAGGCAGCAGUGAGGAAUAUUGGUCAAUGGACGAGAGUCUGAACCAGCCAAGUAGCGUGAAGGAUGACUGCCCUAUGGGUUGUAAACUUCUUUUAUAUGGGAAUAAAGUGGGCCACGUGUGGCUUUUUGUAUGUACCAUACGAAUAAGGAUCGGCUAACUCCGUGCCAGCAGCCGCGGUAAUACGGAGGAUCCAAGCGUUAUCCGGAUUUAUUGGGUUUAAAGGGAGCGUAGGCGGAUUAUUAAGUCAGUUGUGAAAGUUUGCGGCUCAACCGUAAAAUUGCAGUUGAUACUGGUAGUCUUGAGUGCAGCAGAGGUAGGCGGAAUUCGUGGUGUAGCGGUGAAAUGCUUAGAUAUCACGAAGAACUCCGAUUG